CCUGGUUGAACCUGCCAGUAUCAUAUGAUUGUCUUAAAGAUUAAGCCAUGUACGUGUAAGUAUACACAGCCGGUACAGUGAAACUGCGAAUUGUUAAUUAAAUCAGUUGUGGUAAUUCUGGAGCUAAUACCUGCCGACGGGCACUGACCUCCCGAAAUGCAUGAAUGUAUCAGACCAAGAACAAUCCAGCUCACCCGGCCACUUUGGUGACUCUCGAUAACAUCGGGCCGAUCUCCCGUCUCCGAUACGGUGAUGAUACAUUCAGAUGCCCGUCCUAUCAAUUUUCCAUGGUACUUUCUGUGCCUACCAUGGUGACCAUGGGUAACAGGGAUUCAGGGUUUCACUCUGUAGAUCGAGCCUAAGAAACAGUUACCACAUCCAAGGAAGGCAGCAGAUGUGAAUUACCCACUCCCGACUCUGGAAGGUAGUGAUGAAAAAUAACAAUACAGGGCUCCUUCGAGGCCCUGUAAUUGGAACAAGUGCACUUUAAAUACUUUAACAAGAAUCCAUUGGAGAGCCAGGCUGGUGCCAGCAGCUGCAGUAAUUCCAGCUCCAAUAGCGUAUAUUAAAGUUAUAAAUCUUGUCGUUGGAUCUAGGGAUUGAGUUGGAGGUCGCUGCAAGGCGAGGUACCGUCUGUCCCAGCCCCUUCCGUACAGCACCCCUUUGCUGCUCUUGAGUGAGUGUCUUGGGCAUCUUAAGCGGUUACUCUAAAUAAAUUAGAGUGUUCAAAGCAGGCUGGUCACCUGAAUACUUCAACUAGGAUUAAUGGAAUAGGAUUCUGGUUCUAUUUUGUUGGUUUUCAGAACUAGGGCCAUGAUUAAGAGGGACGGCUUGGAGAAGUCAUAUUGUGCUGCUAACAGUGACAUUCUUGGACCGGUGCAAGAGAAAACAAAGUGAAAGCAGUGACCAAGAAUGUUUUCAUUAAUCAAGAAGGAAAGUCGGAGGUUUGAAGAUGAUCAGAUACCAUGGUAGUUCUGACAUUAAACAAUGACGGCUAGCGAUCCGCCAGCAUUAUUCCGAUGACCCACUGAGCAGCUUCCGGGAAACCAAAUUCUAUGAGUUUCUGGGGGGAGUAUGGUUGCAAAGCUGAAACUUGAAGAGUUGACAGAAGUGUACUACCAGGAGUGGAACCUACAGAUAAUUUGACUCAACACUGGAUACCUCACCCGGCCCAGACACGGAAAGAAUUGACAGAUUGAUAGCUCUUUCUCGAUUCUGUGGAUGUUCUUAGUUAAGGAGCGAUUUGUCUGGUUAAUUCUGAAAAAAAUGAGUUUCUUCCAUGCCAACUAGUUACGCAACUAGCCAGCGGUCGGCAUUGAACUUCUUAGAGGGACAAGUGGUGGUCAGCCAUAUGAGAUCGCGCAAUAACAUGUCUGUGAUGCCCUUGAUGUCCGGGGCUGCAAGCACGUUACACUGAAUGGAUCAGCCUGUGUCUAACCUUCACUGACAGGAGCAGGUAACUCUGUGGGAUUGGAUUGGGGAUUGGAUUGGGGAUUGGGUAUUGCAAUAAUUUCCCAUGAACAAGGAAUUCCCAGUAAGUGUGGGUCAUAAGCUCGAGUUGAUUAAGUCCCUGCUCUUUGUACACACUGCCCGUCGCUAUUACCGAUUGGAUGGUUUACUGAAGUCAGCAAUGGCCCUCGCAUAGAGCGCCGAGAAGAUGAUCAAACUUGACUGGAGAAAGUAAAAGUCAUAACUAGGUUUCCGUAGGUUAACCUGCAGAAG
rnacentral:rRNA from 1 species